rnacentral:rRNA from 1 species
AUAUCAAUAAGCGGAGGAAAAGAAACCAACAGGGAUUGCCUCAGUAACGGCGAGUGAAGCGGCAAGAGCCCAAGCUGGAAAUCUUCACACUGCGUGUGACGAAUUGUAAUCUAAAGAGGGUUCGCUCAACGGGCGGUGGCGCAGAAGUGCCUUAGAACGGGCCGCCAGAGAGGGUGACAGCCCCGUAUGUGGUGCCACUGCCUAACGAGCGGGUCCCCGAAGAGUCGGGUUGUUUUGUAUUGCAGCCCUAAGUGGGAGAUAAACUUCUUCUAAGGCUAAAUACCUAUGGGAAACCGAUAGCGAACAAGUACUGUGAAGGAAAGAUGAAGAGAACUUUGAAAAGAGAGUCAAAAGACUUGAAAUCGUUGAGAAGGAAGCGGUAGAAAUUUAUUCUUCGGCGGAGAACGGUGACUUCUGCCUAUCCAUUACUGGCUGUCAGCACUUCAUAGGCUGCGGCUGGCACAUGGGGAAGCGGCUGGCUUGUUCUCCGUCGUGAGGCAAAAUGAGGUCGCACAUCCGCAGAGACUUCCCAAGGCUGACCUGAUUCGUUGGGUACCUUGGGUGUGCCGGUGGACGUGCGGCCUGAGGGUGCUUCGUGCGAUUUUGCCAAAAUGGUUUUUACCGA